rnacentral:rRNA from 1 species
GAUGAACGCUGGCGGCGUGCCUAAUACAUGCAAGUCGAGCGAACAGACGAGGAUCUUGCUCCUCUGACGUUAGCGGCGGACGUGUGAGUAACACGUGGAUAACCUACCUAUAAGACUGGGAUAACUUCGGGAAACCGGAGCUAAUACCGGAUAAUAUAUUGAACCGCAUGGUUCAAUAGUUAAAUACGGUUUUUCUUUCACUUAUAGAUGUAUCCGCGCCGCAUUAGCUAGUUGGUAAGGUAACGGCUUACCAAGGCAACGAUGCGUAGCCGACCUGAGAGGGUGAGAGGCAAAACGGGAACGGAGACACGGAAAAGACUCCUACGGGAGGCAGCAGUAGGGAAUAUUACGCAAUGGGCGAAAGCAUGACGGAGCAACGCCGCGUGAGUGAUGAAGGUCUUCGGAUCGUAAAACUCUGUUAUUAGGGAAGAAAAAAUGUGUAAGUAACUAUGCACGUCUUGACGGUAACUAAUCAGAAAGCCACGGCUAACUACGUG